rnacentral:rRNA from 1 species
UACAGAGGUCUCAAGCGUUGUUCGGAUUCAUUGGGCGUAAAGGGUGUGUAGGUGGCGCCGUAAGUGGGGUGUGAAAUUUCGAGGCUUAACCUCGAAACUGCAUUCCAUACUGCGGUGCUUGAGGACUGGAGAGGAGACUGGAAUUUACGGUGUAGCGGUGAAAUGCGUAGAUAUCGUGAGGAAGACCAGUGGCGAAGGCGGGUCUCUGGACAGUUCCUGACUCUGAGCCGCGUAUGCCAGGGGAGCAAUCGGG